GUAAAAGCCCCGUAUUUGAAACAAAGUUCACUCUGUUGUGUAUCCUGAGUACGGCGGAACACGAGAAAUUCCGUCGGAAUCCGCGGGGACCAUCCCGCAAGGCUAAAUACUCCUUAGUGACCGAUAGUGAACCAGUACCGUGAGGGAAAGGUGAAAAGAACCCCGGAAGGGGAGUGAAAGAGCUCCUGAAACCGUGUGCUUACAAAUAGUUAGAGCCCGUUAAUGGGUGAUAGCGUGCCUUUUGUAGAAUGAACCGGCGAGUUACGAUUACAUGCGAGGUUAAGUUGAUAAGACGGAGCCGUAGCGAAAGCGAGUCUGAAUAGGGCGAAUGAGUAUGUGGUCGUAGACCCGAAACCAAGUGACCUACCCAUGUCCAGGUUGAAGGUGCGGUAAUACGCACUGGAGGACCGAACCCACGUAUGUUGAAAAAUGCGGGGAUGAGGUGUGGGUAGCGGAGAAAUUCCAAUCGAACUUGGAGAUAGCUGGUUCUCUCCGAAAUAGCUUUAGGGCUA
rnacentral:rRNA from 1 species